UACCUACCUGUGUAUAAAAGCCGGACUACACCCAAAAUGUCCUUCAUUAUUCAUUGAGUCUUUGUGGUGUACGUUAGUUUGAGUGAAUUGUUGCUGCUGCAAAAUUCAUGAAUGUGGUGUAGUGGAAAUAUGUUCCUGCUUGCUGAAAAUAAGCUGCUGUGCUGUGGAGAAUAACAUUUCUGGUGUAUCUCAGUCACUUUUUGGGGGACGACCACUCUCCGAGCCAGGAAUUCAUCCAUUUGGUUUGUAAAUUAUUUUUCUUUGUAUGUACUUUUUAAUUCACCUCUAUUAGUGACUUUCCUGUAAAUAAAGUGAUAUUAGUAUUUGAAUAAAACAAAGUAAAUUGUA